GGUUAGGGUUAGGGUUAGGGUUAGGGUUAGGGUUAGGGUUAGGGUUAGGGGUUAGGGUUAGGGUUAGGGUUAGGGUUAGGGUUAGGGGUUAGGGUUAGGGUUAGGGUUAGGGUUAGGGUUAGGGUUAGGGUUUAGGGUUAGGGUUAGGGUUAGGGUUAGGGUUAGGGGUUAGGGUUAGGGUUAGGGUUAGGGUUAGGGUUAGGGUUAGGGUUAGGAUAUAGGGAUAUGUGCCACUUUUGACAUGCCGGUUCAUUGCCUUUCCCAAUGAUGAACCGGGCUGAGAUUUGGUCUACCCCCCUAUUUUCGGGUAUGCUGAAUCUAGAAAUACUAAUGAACCAGCGAUCGGACAUUCCUAUCAAAAGUUAUGGCGAAAUGAAAAUUUCCCAUUGAAAAUGAAUGGGAGCGGAAAAAUGGCCAAAGUCAGUGUUUGCAAGUGUUGUACUUGUCUGGAACUGUUGAAAAUGCAUUGUGAGCACGUUUCAGGCCAUUUCCUGUCAUUUGAGGGCGACUUUGCAAAAAGGGGUGUCAUACCGCUUUUGACCAGAGGUGGCGCUGCACAUGUCCGACGGUUAGGGUUAGGGUGAGACUUUGGGCAAGGGGUUAGGGUUAGGGUUGGAGCUAGGGUUAGGGUUAGGGUUGGAGCUAGGGUUAGGGUUAGGGUUGGAGCUAGGGUUAGGGUUAGGGUUGGUGUUAUUGGAGAAAAAUCACAAGAUUUUCCUAAGUGUGGACCCAAUUUUUCACCUUCCAGAAUUGUGUUAGGAGCACGUUUCAGGCCACGGGGAGUCCAUAGAACCUGAUUCUGGGUUAGGGUUAGGGUUAGGGUUAGGGUUAGGGUUAGGGUUAGGGUUAGGGUUAGGGUUAGGGUUAGGGUUUAGGGUUAGGGUUAGGGUUAGGGUUAGGGUUAGGGUUAGGGUUAGGGUUAGGGUUUAGGGUUAGGGUUAGGGUUAGGGUUAGGGUUAGGGUUAGGGUUAGGGUUAGGGGUUAGGGUUAGGGUUAGGGUUAGGGUUAGGGUUAGGGUUAGGGUUAGGGGUUAGGGUUAGGGUUAGGGUUAGGGUUAGGGUUAGGGUUAGGGGUUAGGGUUAGGGUUAGGGUUAGGGUUAGGGUUAGGGUUUAGGGUUAGGGUUAGGGUUAGGGUUAGGGUUAGGGUUAGGGUUAGGGGUUAGGGUUAGGGUUAGGGUUAGGGUUAGGGUUAGGGUUAGGGUUAGGGUUAGGGUUAGGGUUAGGGUUAGGGUUAGGGUUAGGGUUAGGGUUAGGGUUAGGGUUAGGGUUAGGGUUAGGGUUAGGGUUAGGGUUAGGGGUUAGGGUUAGGGUUAGGGUUAGGGUUAGGGUUAGGGUUAGGGUUAGGGGUUAGGGUUAGGGUUAGGGUUAGGGUUAGGGUUAGGGUUAGGGUUAGGGUUAGGGUUAGGGUUAGGGUUAGGGUUAGGGUUAGGGGUUAGGGUUAGGGUUAGGGUUAGGGUUAGGGUUAGGGUUAGGAUAUAGGGAUAUGUGCCACUUUUGACAUGCCGGUUCAUUGCCUUUCCCAAUGAUGAACCGGGCUGAGAUUUGGUCUACCCCCCCAUUUUCGGGUAUGCUGAAUCUAGAAAUAGUAAUGAACCAGCGAUCGGACAUUCCUAUCAAAAGUUAUGGCGAAGUGAAAAUUUCCCAUUGAAAAUGAAUGGGAGCGGAAAAAUGGCCAAAGUCAGUGUUUGCAAGUGUUCUACUUGUCUGGAAAUGUUGAAAAUGCAUUGUGAGCACGUUUCAGGCCAUUUCCUGUCAUUUGAGGGCGACUUUGCAAAAAGGGGUGUCCUACCGCUUUUGACCAGAGGUGGUGCUGCACAUGUCCGACGGUUAGGGUUAGGGUGAGACUUUGGGCAAGGGGUUAGGGUUAGGGCUGGAGCUAUGGUUAGGGUUAGUGGUGGAGCUAGGGUUGGAGCUAGGGUUAGGGUUAGGGUUGGAGCUAGGGUUAGGGUUAGGGUUAGGAAAAUGUGAAGAUUUUCCCAAAAUCUGAAGAUUUUCCUAAGUGCGGACCCAAUUUUUCACCUUCCAGAAUUGUGUUAGGAGCACGUUUCAGGCCACGGGGAGUCCAUAGAACCUGAUUGUGGGUGAAGUUUUCGGGGGUUGGAGCUUUGGGGCAGGAUAUAGGGAUAUGUGCCACUUUUGACAUGCCGGUUCAUUGCCUUUCCCAAUGAUGAACCGGGCUGAGAUUUGGUCUACCCCCCAUUUUCGGGUAUGCUGAAUCUAGAAAUAGUAAUGAACCAGCGAUCGGACAUUCCUAUCAAAAGUUAUGGCGAAGUGAAAAUUUCCCAUUGAAGAUGAAUGGGAGCGGAAAAAUGGCCAAAGUCAGUGUUUGCAAGUGUUCUACUUGUCUGGAAAUGUUGAAAAUGCAUUGUGAGCACGUUUCAGGCCAUUUCCUGUCAUUUGAGGGCGACUUUGCAAAAGGGGUGUCCUACCGCUUUUGACCAGAGGUGGCGCUGCACAUGUCCGACGGUUAGGGUUAGGGUGAGACUUUGGGCAAGGGGUUAGGGUUAGGGCUGGAGCUAUGGUUAGGGUUAGUUGUGGAGCUAGGGUUGGAGCUAGGGUUAGGGUUAGGGUUGGAGCUAGGGUUAGGGUUAGGGUUAGGAAAAUGUGAAGAUUUUCCCAAAAUCUGAAGAUUUUCCUAAGUGCGGACCCAAUUUUUCACCUUCCAGAAUUGUGUUAGGAGCACGUUUCAGGCCACGGGGAGUCCAUAGAACCUGAUUGUGGGUGAAGUUUUCGGGGGUUGGAGCUUUGGGGCAGGAUAUAGGGAUAUGUGCCACUUUUGACAUGCCGGUUCAUUGCCUUUCCCAAUGAUGAACCGGGCUGAGAUUUGGUCUACCCCCCAUUUUCGGGUAUGCUGAAUCUAGAAAUAGUAAUGAACCAGCGAUCGGACAUUCCUAUCAAAAGUUAUGGCGAAGUGAAAAUUUCCCAUUGAAGAUGAAUGGGAGCGGAAAAAUGGCCAAAGUCAGUGUUUGCAAGUGUUCUACUUGUCUGGAAAUGUUGAAAAUGCAUUGUGAGCACGUUUCAGGCCAUUUCCUGUCAUUUGAGGGCGACUUUGCAAAAAGGGGUGUCCUACCGCUUUUGACCAGAGGUGGCGCUGCACAUGUCCGACGGUUAGGGUUAGGGUGAGACUUUGGGCAAGGGGUUAGGGUUAGGGCUGGAGCUAUGGUUAGGGUUAGUUGUGGAGCUAGGGUUGGAGCUAGGGUUAGGGUUAGGGUUGGAGCUAGGGUUAGGGUUAGGGUUAGGAAAAUGUGAAGAUUUUCCCAAAAUCUGAAGAUUUUCCUAAGUGCGGACCCAAUUUUUCACCUUCCAGAAUUGUGUUAGGAGCACGUUUCAGGCCACGGGGAGUCCAUAGAACCUGAUUGUGGGUGAAGUUUUCGGGGGUUGGAGCUUUGGGGCAGGAUAUAGGGAUAUGUGCCACUUUUGACAUGCCGGUUCAUUGCCUUUCCCAAUGAUGAACCGGGCUGAGAUUUGGUCUACCCCCCAUUUUCGGGUAUGCUGAAUCUAGAAAUAGUAAUGAACCAGCGAUCGGACAUUCCUAUCAAAAGUUAUGGCGAAGUGAAAAUUUCCCAUUGAAGAUGAAUGGGAGCGGAAAAAUGGCCAAAGUCAGUGUUUGCAAGUGUUCUACUUGUCUGGAAAUGUUGAAAAUGCAUUGUGAGCACGUUUCAGGCCAUUUCCUGUCAUUUGAGGGCGACUUUGCAAAAGGGGUGUCCUACCGCUUUUGACCAGAGGUGGCGCUGCACAUGUCCGACGGUUAGGGUUAGGGUGAGACUUUGGGCAAGGGGUUAGGGUUAGGGCUGGAGCUAUGGUUAGGGUUAGUUGUGGAGCUAGGGUUGGAGCUAGGGUUAGGGUUAGGGUUGGAGCUAGGGUUAGGGUUAGGGUUAGGAAAAUGUGAAGAUUUUCCCAAAAUCUGAAGAUUUUCCUAAGUGCGGACCCAAUUUUUCACCUUCCAGAAUUGUGUUAGGAGCACGUUUCAGGCCACGGGGAGUCCAUAGAACCUGAUUGUGGGUGAAGUUUUCGGGGGUUGGAGCUUUGGGGCAGGAUAUAGGGAUAUGUGCCACUUUUGACAUGCCGGUUCAUUGCCUUUCCCAAUGAUGAACCGGGCUGAGAUUUGGUCUACCCCCCAUUUUCGGGUAUGCUGAAUCUAGAAAUAGUAAUGAACCAGCGAUCGGACAUUCCUAUCAAAAGUUAUGGCGAAGUGAAAAUUUCCCAUUGAAGAUGAAUGGGAGCGGAAAAAUGGCCAAAGUCAGUGUUUGCAAGUGUUCUACUUGUCUGGAAAUGUUGAAAAUGCAUUGUGAGCACGUUUCAGGCCAUUUCCUGUCAUUUGAGGGCGACUUUGCAAAAGGGGUGUCCUACCGCUUUUGACCAGAGGUGGCGCUGCACAUGUCCGACGGUUAGGGUUAGGGUGAGACUUUGGGCAAGGGGUUAGGGUUAGGGCUGGAGCUAUGGUUAGGGUUAGUUGUGGAGCUAGGGUUGGAGCUAGGGUUAGGGUUAGGGUUGGAGCUAGGGUUAGGGUUAGGGUUAGGAAAAUGUGAAGAUUUUCCCAAAAUCUGAAGAUUUUCCUAAGUGCGGACCCAAUUUUUCACCUUCCAGAAUUGUGUUAGGAGCACGUUUCAGGCCACGGGGAGUCCAUAGAACCUGAUUGUGGGUGAAGUUUUCGGGGGUUGGAGCUUUGGGGCAGGAUAUAGGGAUAUGUGCCACUUUUGACAUGCCGGUUCAUUGCCUUUCCCAAUGAUGAACCGGGCUGAGAUUUGGUCUACCCCCCAUUUUCGGGUAUGCUGAAUCUAGAAAUAGUAAUGAACCAGCGAUCGGACAUUCCUAUCAAAAGUUAUGGCGAAGAGUGAAAAUUUCCCAUUGAAGAUGAAUGGGAGCGGAAAAAUGGCCAAAGUCAGUGUUUGCAAGUGUUCUACUUGUCUGGAAAUGUUGAAAAUGCAUUGUGAGCACGUUUCAGGCCAUUUCCUGUCAUUUGAGGGCGACUUUGCAAAAGGGGUGUCCUACCGCUUUUGACCAGAGGUGGCGCUGCACAUGUCCGACGGUUAGGGUUAGGGUGAGACUUUGGGCAAGGGGUUAGGGUUAGGGCUGGAGCUAUGGUUAGGGUUAGUUGUGGAGCUAGGGUUGGAGCUAGGGUUAGGGUUAGGGUUGGAGCUAGGGUUAGGGUUAGGGUUAGGAAAAUGUGAAGAUUUUCCCAAAAUCUGAAGAUUUUCCUAAGUGCGGACCCAAUUUUUCACCUUCCAGAAUUGUGUUAGGAGCACGUUUCAGGCCACGGGGAGUCCAUAGAACCUGAUUGUGGGUGAAGUUUUCGGGGGUUGGAGCUUUGGGGCAGGAUAUAGGGAUAUGUGCCACUUUUGACAUGCCGGUUCAUUGCCUUUCCCAAUGAUGAACCGGGCUGAGAUUUGGUCUACCCCCCAUUUUCGGGUAUGCUGAAUCUAGAAAUAGUAAUGAACCAGCGAUCGGACAUUCCUAUCAAAAGUUAUGGCGAAGUGAAAAUUUCCCAUUGAAGAUGAAUGGGAGCGGAAAAUGGCCAAAGUCAGUGUUUGCAAGUGUUCUACUUGUCUGGAAAUGUUGAAAAUGCAUUGUGAGCACGUUUCAGGCCAUUUCCUGUCAUUUGAGGGCGACUUUGCAAAAAGGGGUGUCCUACCGCUUUUGACCAGAGGUGGCGCUGCACAUGUCCGACGGUUAGGGUUAGGGUGAGACUUUGGGCAAGGGGUUAGGGUUAGGGCUGGAGCUAUGGUUAGGGUUAGUUGUGGAGCUAGGGUUGGAGCUAGGGUUAGGGUUAGGGUUGGAGCUAGGGUUAGGGUUAGGGUUAGGAAAAUGUGAAGAUUUUCCCAAAAUCUGAAGAUUUUCCUAAGUGCGGACCCAAUUUUUCACCUUCCAGAAUUGUGUUAGGAGCACGUUUCAGGCCACGGGGAGUCCAUAGAACCUGAUUGUGGGUGAAGUUUUCGGGGGUUGGAGCUUUGGGGCAGGAUAUAGGGAUAUGUGCCACUUUUGACAUGCCGGUUCAUUGCCUUUCCCAAUGAUGAACCGGGCUGAGAUUUGGUCUACCCCCCAUUUUCGGGUAUGCUGAAUCUAGAAAUAGUAAUGAACCAGCGAUCGGACAUUCCUAUCAAAAGUUAUGGCGAAGUGAAAAUUUCCCAUUGAAGAUGAAUGGGAGCGGAAAAAUGGCCAAAGUCAGUGUUUGCAAGUGUUCUACUUGUCUGGAAAUGUUGAAAAUGCAUUGUGAGCACGUUUCAGGCCAUUUCCUGUCAUUUGAGGGCGACUUUGCAAAAAGGGGUGUCCUACCGCUUUUGACCAGAGGUGGCGCUGCACAUGUCCGACGGUUAGGGUUAGGGUGAGACUUUGGGCAAGGGGUUAGGGUUAGGGCUGGAGCUAUGGUUAGGGUUAGUUGUGGAGCUAGGGUUGGAGCUAGGGUUAGGGUUAGGGUUGGAGCUAGGGUUAGGGUUAGGGUUAGGAAAAUGUGAAGAUUUUCCCAAAAUCUGAAGAUUUUCCUAAGUGCGGACCCAAUUUUUCACCUUCCAGAAUUGUGUUAGGAGCACGUUUCAGGCCACGGGGAGUCCAUAGAACCUGAUUGUGGGUGAAGUUUUCGGGGGUUGGAGCUUUGGGGCAGGAUAUAGGGAUAUGUGCCACUUUUGACAUGCCGGUUCAUUGCCUUUCCCAAUGAUGAACCGGGCUGAGAUUUGGUCUACCCCCCAUUUUCGGGUAUGCUGAAUCUAGAAAUAGUAAUGAACCAGCGAUCGGACAUUCCUAUCAAAAGUUAUGGCGAAGUGAAAAUUUCCCAUUGAAGAUGAAUGGGAGCGGAAAAAUGGCCAAAGUCAGUGUUUGCAAGUGUUCUACUUGUCUGGAAAUGUUGAAAAUGCAUUGUGAGCACGUUUCAGGCCAUUUCCUGUCAUUUGAGGGCGACUUUGCAAAAGGGGUGUCCUACCGCUUUUGACCAGAGGUGGCGCUGCACAUGUCCGACGGUUAGGGUUAGGGUGAGACUUUGGGCAAGGGGUUAGGGUUAGGGCUGGAGCUAUGGUUAGGGUUAGUUGUGGAGCUAGGGUUGGAGCUAGGGUUAGGGUUAGGGUUGGAGCUAGGGUUAGGGUUAGGGUUAGGAAAAUGUGAAGAUUUUCCCAAAAUCUGAAGAUUUUCCUAAGUGCGGACCCAAUUUUUCACCUUCCAGAAUUGUGUUAGGAGCACGUUUCAGGCCACGGGGAGUCCAUAGAACCUGAUUGUGGGUGAAGUUUUCGGGGGUUGGAGCUUUGGGGCAGGAUAUAGGGAUAUGUGCCACUUUUGACAUGCCGGUUCAUUGCCUUUCCCAAUGAUGAACCGGGCUGAGAUUUGGUCUACCCCCCCAUUUUCGGGUAUGCUGAAUCUAGAAAUAGUAAUGAACCAGCGAUCGGACAUUCCUAUCAAAAGUUAUGGCGAAGUGAAAAUUUCCCAUUGAAGAUGAAUGGGAGCGGAAAAAUGGCCAAAGUCAGUGUUUGCAAGUGUUCUACUUGUCUGGAAAUGUUGAAAAUGCAUUGUGAGCACGUUUCAGGCCAUUUCCUGUCAUUUGAGGGCGACUUUGCAAAAGGGGUGUCCUACCGCUUUUGACCAGAGGUGGCGCUGCACAUGUCCGACGGUUAGGGUUAGGGUGAGACUUUGGGCAAGGGGUUAGGGUUAGGGCUGGAGCUAUGGUUAGGGUUAGUUGUGGAGCUAGGGUUGGAGCUAGGGUUAGGGUUAGGGUUGGAGCUAGGGUUAGGGUUAGGGUUAGGAAAAUGUGAAGAUUUUCCCAAAAUCUGAAGAUUUUCCUAAGUGCGGACCCAAUUUUUCACCUUCCAGAAUUGUGUUAGGAGCACGUUUCAGGCCACGGGGAGUCCAUAGAACCUGAUUGUGGGUGAAGUUUUCGGGGGUUGGAGCUUUGGGGCAGGAUAUAGGGAUAUGUGCCACUUUUGACAUGCCGGUUCAUUGCCUUUCCCAAUGAUGAACCGGGCUGAGAUUUGGUCUACCCCCCAUUUUCGGGUAUGCUGAAUCUAGAAAUAGUAAUGAACCAGCGAUCGGACAUUCCUAUCAAAAGUUAUGGCGAAGUGAAAAUUUCCCAUUGAAGAUGAAUGGGAGCGGAAAAAUGGCCAAAGUCAGUGUUUGCAAGUGUUCUACUUGUCUGGAAAUGUUGAAAAUGCAUUGUGAGCACGUUUCAGGCCAUUUCCUGUCAUUUGAGGGCGACUUUGCAAAAGGGGUGUCCUACCGCUUUUGACCAGAGGUGGCGCUGCACAUGUCCGACGGUUAGGGUUAGGGUGAGACUUUGGGCAAGGGGUUAGGGUUAGGGCUGGAGCUAUGGUUAGGGUUAGUUGUGGAGCUAGGGUUGGAGCUAGGGUUAGGGUUAGGGUUGGAGCUAGGGUUAGGGUUAGGGUUAGGAAAAUGUGAAGAUUUUCCCAAAAUCUGAAGAUUUUCCUAAGUGCGGACCCAAUUUUUCACCUUCCAGAAUUGUGUUAGGAGCACGUUUCAGGCCACGGGGAGUCCAUAGAACCUGAUUGUGGGUGAAGUUUUCGGGGGUUGGAGCUUUGGGGCAGGAUAUAGGGAUAUGUGCCACUUUUGACAUGCCGGUUCAUUGCCUUUCCCAAUGAUGAACCGGGCUGAGAUUUGGUCUACCCCCCCAUUUUCGGGUAUGCUGAAUCUAGAAAUAGUAAUGAACCAGCGAUCGGACAUUCCUAUCAAAAGUUAUGGCGAAGUGAAAAUUUCCCAUUGAAGAUGAAUGGGAGCGGAAAAAUGGCCAAAGUCAGUGUUUGCAAGUGUUCUACUUGUCUGGAAAUGUUGAAAAUGCAUUGUGAGCACGUUUCAGGCCAUUUCCUGUCAUUUGAGGGCGACUUUGCAAAAGGGGUGUCCUACCGCUUUUGACCAGAGGUGGCGCUGCACAUGUCCGACGGUUAGGGUUAGGGUGAGACUUUGGGCAAGGGGUUAGGGUUAGGGCUGGAGCUAUGGUUAGGGUUAGUUGUGGAGCUAGGGUUGGAGCUAGGGUUAGGGUUAGGGUUGGAGCUAGGGUUAGGGUUAGGGUUAGGAAAAUGUGAAGAUUUUCCCAAAAUCUGAAGAUUUUCCUAAGUGCGGACCCAAUUUUUCACCUUCCAGAAUUGUGUUAGGAGCACGUUUCAGGCCACGGGGAGUCCAUAGAACCUGAUUGUGGGUGAAGUUUUCGGGGGUUGGAGCUUUGGGGCAGGAUAUAGGGAUAUGUGCCACUUUUGACAUGCCGGUUCAUUGCCUUUCCCAAUGAUGAACCGGGCUGAGAUUUGGUCUACCCCCCAUUUUCGGGUAUGCUGAAUCUAGAAAUAGUAAUGAACCAGCGAUCGGACAUUCCUAUCAAAAGUUAUGGCGAAGUGAAAAUUUCCCAUUGAAGAUGAAUGGGAGCGGAAAAAUGGCCAAAGUCAGUGUUUGCAAGUGUUCUACUUGUCUGGAAAUGUUGAAAAUGCAUUGUGAGCACGUUUCAGGCCAUUUCCUGUCAUUUGAGGGCGACUUUGCAAAAGGGGUGUCCUACCGCUUUUGACCAGAGGUGGCGCUGCACAUGUCCGACGGUUAGGGUUAGGGUGAGACUUUGGGCAAGGGGUUAGGGUUAGGGCUGGAGCUAUGGUUAGGGUUAGUUGUGGAGCUAGGGUUGGAGCUAGGGUUAGGGUUAGGGUUGGAGCUAGGGUUAGGGUUAGGGUUAGGAAAAUGUGAAGAUUUUCCCAAAAUCUGAAGAUUUUCCUAAGUGCGGACCCAAUUUUUCACCUUCCAGAAUUGUGUUAGGAGCACGUUUCAGGCCACGGGGAGUCCAUAGAACCUGAUUGUGGGUGAAGUUUUCGGGGGUUGGAGCUUUGGGGCAGGAUAUAGGGAUAUGUGCCACUUUUGACAUGCCGGUUCAUUGCCUUUCCCAAUGAUGAACCGGGCUGAGAUUUGGUCUACCCCCCAUUUUCGGGUAUGCUGAAUCUAGAAAUAGUAAUGAACCAGCGAUCGGACAUUCCUAUCAAAAGUUAUGGCGAAGUGAAAAUUUCCCAUUGAAGAUGAAUGGGAGCGGAAAAAUGGCCAAAGUCAGUGUUUGCAAGUGUUGUACUUGUCUGGAAAUGUUGAAAAUGCAUUGUGAGCACGUUUCAGGCCAUUUCCUGUCAUUUGAGGGCGACUUUGCAAAAAGGGGUGUCCUACCGCUUUUGACCAGAGGUGGCGCUGCACAUGUCCGACGGUUAGGGUUAGGGUGAGACUUUGGGCAAGGGGUUAGGGUUAGGGCUGGAGCUAUGGUUAGGGUUAGUUGUGGAGCUAGGGUUGGAGCUAGGGUUAGGGUUAGGGUUGGAGCUAGGGUUAGGGUUAGGGUUAGGAAAAUGUGAAGAUUUUCCCAAAAUCUGAAGAUUUUCCUAAGUGCGGACCCAAUUUUUCACCUUCCAGAAUUGUGUUAGGAGCACGUUUCAGGCCACGGGGAGUCCAUAGAACCUGAUUGUGGGUGAAGUUUUCGGGGGUUGGAGCUUUGGGGCAGGAUAUAGGGAUAUGUGCCACUUUUGACAUGCCGGUUCAUUGCCUUUCCCAAUGAUGAACCGGGCUGAGAUUUGGUCUACCCCCCAUUUUCGGGUAUGCUGAAUCUAGAAAUAGUAAUGAACCAGCGAUCGGACAUUCCUAUCAAAAGUUAUGGCGAAGUGAAAAUUUCCCAUUGAAGAUGAAUGGGAGCGGAAAAAUGGCCAAAGUCAGUGUUUGCAAGUGUUGUACUUGUCUGGAAAUGUUGAAAAUGCAUUGUGAGCACGUUUCAGGCCAUUUCCUGUCAUUUGAGGGCGACUUUGCAAAAGGGGUGUCCUACCGCUUUUGACCAGAGGUGGCGCUGCACAUGUCCGACGGUUAGGGUUAGGGUGAGACUUUGGGCAAGGGGUUAGGGUUAGGGCUGGAGCUAUGGUUAGGGUUAGUUGUGGAGCUAGGGUUGGAGCUAGGGUUAGGGUUAGGGUUGGAGCUAGGGUUAGGGUUAGGGUUAGGAAAAUGUGAAGAUUUUCCCAAAAUCUGAAGAUUUUCCUAAGUGCGGACCCAAUUUUUCACCUUCCAGAAUUGUGUUAGGAGCACGUUUCAGGCCACGGGGAGUCCAUAGAACCUGAUUGUGGGUGAAGUUUUCGGGGGUUGGAGCUUUGGGGCAGGAUAUAGGGAUAUGUGCCACUUUUGACAUGCCGGUUCAUUGCCUUUCCCAAUGAUGAACCGGGCUGAGAUUUGGUCUACCCCCCAUUUUCGGGUAUGCUGAAUCUAGAAAUAGUAAUGAACCAGCGAUCGGACAUUCCUAUCAAAAGUUAUGGCGAAGUGAAAAUUUCCCAUUGAAGAUGAAUGGGAGCGGAAAAAUGGCCAAAGUCAGUGUUUGCAAGUGUUCUACUUGUCUGGAAAUGUUGAAAAUGCAUUGUGAGCACGUUUCAGGCCAUUUCCUGUCAUUUGAGGGCGACUUUGCAAAAAGGGGUGUCCUACCGCUUUUGACCAGAGGUGGCGCUGCACAUGUCCGACGGUUAGGGUUAGGGUGAGACUUUGGGCAAGGGGUUAGGGUUAGGGCUGGAGCUAUGGUUAGGGUUAGUUGUGGAGCUAGGGUUGGAGCUAGGGUUAGGGUUAGGGUUGGAGCUAGGGUUAGGGUUAGGGUUAGGAAAAUGUGAAGAUUUUCCCAAAAUCUGAAGAUUUUCCUAAGUGCGGACCCAAUUUUUCACCUUCCAGAAUUGUGUUAGGAGCACGUUUCAGGCCACGGGGAGUCCAUAGAACCUGAUUGUGGGUGAAGUUUUCGGGGUUGGAGCUUUGGGGCAGGAUAUAGGGAUAUGUGCCACUUUUGACAUGCCGGUUCAUUGCCUUUCCCAAUGAUGAACCGGGCUGAGAUUUGGUCUACCCCCCCAUUUUCGGGUAUGCUGAAUCUAGAAAUAGUAAUGAACCAGCGAUCGGACAUUCCUAUCAAAAGUUAUGGCGAAGUGAAAAUUUCCCAUUGAAGAUGAAUGGGAGCGGAAAAAUGGCCAAAGUCAGUGUUUGCAAGUGUUCUACUUGUCUGGAAAUGUUGAAAAUGCAUUGUGAGCACGUUUCAGGCCAUUUCCUGUCAUUUGAGGGCGACUUUGCAAAAGGGGUGUCCUACCGCUUUUGACCAGAGGUGGCGCUGCACAUGUCCGACGGUUAGGGUUAGGGUGAGACUUUGGGCAAGGGGUUAGGGUUAGGGCUGGAGCUAUGGUUAGGGUUAGUUGUGGAGCUAGGGUUGGAGCUAGGGUUAGGGUUAGGGUUGGAGCUAGGGUUAGGGUUAGGGUUAGGAAAAUGUGAAGAUUUUCCCAAAAUCUGAAGAUUUUCCUAAGUGCGGACCCAAUUUUUCACCUUCCAGAAUUGUGUUAGGAGCACGUUUCAGGCCACGGGGAGUCCAUAGAACCUGAUUGUGGGUGAAGUUUUCGGGGGUUGGAGCUUUGGGGCAGGAUAUAGGGAUAUGUGCCACUUUUGACAUGCCGGUUCAUUGCCUUUCCCAAUGAUGAACCGGGCUGAGAUUUGGUCUACCCCCCAUUUUCGGGUAUGCUGAAUCUAGAAAUAGUAAUGAACCAGCGAUCGGACAUUCCUAUCAAAAGUUAUGGCGAAGUGAAAAUUUCCCAUUGAAAAUGAAUGGGAGCGGAAAAAUGGCCAAAGUCAGUGUUUGCAAGUGUUGUACUUGUCUGGAAAUGUUGAAAAUGCAUUGUGAGCACGUUUCAGGCCAUUUCCUGUCAUUUGAGGGCGACUUUGCAAAAGGGGUGUCAUACCGCUUUUGACCAGAGGUGGCGCUGCACAUGUCCGACGGUUAGGGUUAGGGUGAGACUUUGGGCAAGGGGUUAGGGUUAGGGCUGGAGCUAUGGUUAGGGUUAGUUGUGGAGCUAGGGUUGGAGCUAGGGUUAGGGUUAGGGUUGGAGCUAGGGUUAGGGUUAGGGUUAGGAAAAUGUGAAGAUUUUCCCAAAAUCUGAAGAUUUUCCUAAGUGCGGACCCAAUUUUUCACCUUCCAGAAUUGUGUUAGGAGCACGUUUCAGGCCACGGGGAGUCCAUAGAACCUGAUUGUGGGUGAAGUUUUCGGGGUUGGAGCUUUGGGGCAGGAUAUAGGGAUAUGUGCCACUUUUGACAUGCCGGUUCAUUGCCUUUCCCAAUGAUGAACCGGGCUGAGAUUUGGUCUACCCCCCCAUUUUCGGGUAUGCUGAAUCUAGAAAUAGUAAUGAACCAGCGAUCGGACAUUCCUAUCAAAAGUUAUGGCGAAGUGAAAAUUUCCCAUUGAAAAUGAAUGGGAGCGGAAAAAUGGCCAAAGUCAGUGUUUGCAAGUGUUGUACUUGUCUGGAACUGUUGAAAAUGCAUUGUGAGCACGUUUCAGGCCAUUUCCUGUCAUUUGAGGGCGACUUUGCAAAAGGGGUGUCAUACCGCUUUUGACCAGAGGUGGCGCUGCACAUGUCCGACGGUUAGGGUUAGGGUGAGACUUUGGGCAAGGGGUUAGGGUUAGGGCUGGAGCUAGGGUUAGGGUUAGUUGUGGAGCUAGGGUUAGGGUUAGGGUUGGAGCUAGGGUUAGGGUUAGGGUUGGAGCUAGGGUUAGGGUUAGGGUUAGG